GCGCCUAUAGCUCAGGUGGAUAGAGCACAGGAUUCCUAAUCCUGGGGCCUCUGGUUCGAGUCCAGAUAGGCGCA
rnacentral:tRNA from 1 species